rnacentral:lncRNA from 1 species
GUUAAAUCCUCCAGUAUGUCAGUUAUUCACUAUAUUCAGACCCAUGCAGGCCAGAGUGUUAAAUCCUCCAGUAUGUCAGUUAUUCACUAUAUUCAGACCCAUGCAGGCCAGAGUGUUAAAUCCUCCAGUAUGUCAGUUAUUCACUAUAUUCAGACCCAUGCAGGCCAGAGUGUUAAAUCCUCCAGUAUGUCAGUUAUUCACUAUAUUCAGACCCAUGCAGGCCAGAGUGUUAAAUCCUCCAGUAUGUCAGUUAUUCACUAUAUUCAGACCCAUGCAGGCCAGAGUGUUAAAUCCUCCAGUAUGUCAGUUAUUCACUAUAUUCAGACCCAUGCAGGCCAGAGUGUUAAAUCCUCCAGUUUGUCAGUUAUUCACUAUAUUCAGACCCAUGCAGGCCAGAGUGUUAAAUCAUCCAGUAUGUCAGUUAUUUACUAUAUUCAGACCCAUGCAGGCCAGAGUGAUAAAUCCUCCAGUAUGUCAAGUAUUCACUAUAUUCAGACCCAUGCAGGCCAGAGUGUUAAAUCCUCCAGUAUGUCAGUUAUUCACUAUAUUCAGACCCAUGCAGGCCAGAGUGUUAAAUCCUCCAGUAUGUCAGUUAUUCACUAUAUUCAGACCCAUGCAGGCCAAAGUGUUAAAUCCUCCAGUAUGUCAGUUAUUCACUAUAUUCAGACCCAUGCAGGCCAGAGUGUUAAAUCCUCCAGUAUGUCAGUUAUUCACUAUAUUCAGACCCAUGCAGGCCAGAGUGUUAAAUCCUCCAGUAUGUCAGUUAUUCACUAUAUUCAGACCCAUGCAGGCCAGAGUGUUAAAUCCUCCAGUAUGUCAGUUAUUCACUAUAUUCAGACCCAUGCAGGCCAGAGUGUUAAAUCCUCCAGUAUGUCAGUUAUUCACAAUAUUCAGACCCAUGCAGGCCAGAGUGUUAAAUCUUCCAGUAUGUCAGUUAUUCACUAUAUUCAGACCCAUGCAGGCCAGAGUGUUAAAUCCUCCAGUAUGUCAGUUAUUCACUAUAUUCAGACCCAUGCAGGCCAGAGUGUUAAAUCCUCCAGUAUGUCAGUUAUUCACUAUAUUCAGACCCAUGCAGGCCAGAGUGUUAAAUCCUCCAGUAUGUCAGUUAUUCACUAUAUUCAGACCCAUGCAGGCCAGAGUGUUAAAUCCUCCAGUUUGUCAGUUAUUCACUAUAUUCAGACCCAUGCAGGCCAGAGUGUUAAAUCCUCCAGUAUGUCAGUUAUUCACUAUAUUCAGACCCAUGCAGGCCAGAGUGUUAAAUCCUCCAGUAUGUCAGUUAUUCACUAUAUUCAGACCCAUGCAGGCCAGAGUGUUAAAUCCUCCAGUAUGUCAGUUAUUCACUAUAUUCAGACCCAUGCAGGCCAGAGUGUUAAAUCCUCCAGUAUGUCAGUUAUUCACAAUAUUCAGACCCAUGCAGGCCAGAGUGAUAAAUCCUCCAGUAUGUCAGUUAUUCACUAUAUUCAGACCCAUGCAGGCCAGAGUGUUAAAUCCUCCAGUAUGUCAGUUAUUCACUAUAUUCAGACCCAUGCAGGCCAGAGUGUUAAAUCCUCCAGUAUGUCAGUUAUUCACUAUAUUCAGACCCAUGCAGGCCAGAGUGUUAAAUCCUCCAGUAUGUCAGUUAUUCACUAUAUUCAGACCCAUGCAGGCCAGAGUGUUAAAUCCUCCAGUAUGUCAGUUAUUCACUAUAUUCAGACCCAUGCAGGCCAGAGUGUUAAAUCCUCCAGUAUGUCAGUUAUUCACUAUAUUCAGACCCAUGCAGGCCAGAGUGUUAAAUCCUCCAGUAUGUCAGUUAUUCACUAUAUUCAGACCCAUGCAGGCCAGAGUGUUAAAUCCUCCAGUAUGUCAGUUAUUCACUAUAUUCAGACCCAUGCAGGCCAGAGUGUUAAAUCCUCCAGUAUGUCAGUUAUUCACUAUAUUCAGACCCAUGCAGGCCAGAGUGUUAAAUCCUCCAGUAUGUCAGUUAUUCACUAUAUUCAGUGUCUGGGAG